UACGGAGGAUCCAAGCGUCAUCCGGAUUUAUUGGGUUUAAAGGGUGCGUAGGCGGCCUGUUAAGUCAGAGGUGAAAGACGGUAGCUCAACUAUCGCAGUGCCUCUGAUACUGACGGGCUUGAAUGGACUAGAGGCAGGCGGAAUGAGACAAGUAGCGGUGAAAUGCAUAGAUAUGUCUCAGAACACCGAUUGCGAAGGCAGCUUGCUAUGGUCCUAUUGACGCUGAGGCACGAAAGCGUGGGGAUCAAACAGG
rnacentral:rRNA from 1 species